AACGUAGGUCACAAGCGUUGUCCGGAAUUACUGGGUGUAAAGGGAGCGCAGGCGGGAAGACAAGUUGGAAGUGAAAUCCAUGGGCUCAACCCAUGAACUGCUUUCAAAACUGUUUUUCUUGAGUAGUGCAGAGGUAGGCGGAAUUCCCGGUGUAGCGGUGGAAUGCGUAGAUAUCGGGAGGAACACCAGUGGCGAAGGCGGCCUACUGGGCACCAACUGACGCUGAGGCUCGAAAGUGUGGGUAGCAAACAGGAUUAGAUACCCUGGUGGCUGACUGACU
rnacentral:rRNA from 1 species